UACAGAGACUGCAAGCGUUAUUCGGAUUCACUGGGCGUAAAGGGUGCGCAGGCGGCCAAGUGUGUGAGGCGUGAAAGCCCGGGGCUCGACCCCGGAAUUGCCUUUAAGACUGCAUCGCUUGAAUUGUGGAGAGGUGAGUGGAAUUCCGAGUGUAGAGGUGAAAUUCGUAGAUAUUCGGAAGAACACCAGUGGCGAAGGCGACUCACUGGACACAUAUUGACGCUGAGGUGCGAAAGCGUGGGGAGCAAACAGG
rnacentral:rRNA from 1 species